rfam:Toxocara canis scaffold405, whole genome shotgun sequence.
GCGGCAAUAGCUCAGUGGUAGAGCCCCCGCUCCGCAUGUGGGAAGACCCUGGUUCGAUUCCCGGCUGUUCCC